rnacentral:rRNA from 1 species
CCCUUAGAUGUUCUGGGCUGCACGCGCGCUACACUGAUGCACUCAACGAGUUUACGACCUUGCCCGAUAGGGUCGGGUAAUCUUUUUAAAAUGCAUCGUGAUGGGGAUAGAUUAUUGCAAUUAUUAAUCUUCAACGAGGAAUUCCUAGUAAGCGCGAGUCAUCAGCUCGUGCUGAUUACGUCCCUGCCCUUUGUACACACCGCCCGUCGCUCCUACCGAUUGAGUGCUCAGGUGAAUAAUUCGGACUGCAGCAAUGUUUGGAUCCCGAACGUUGCAGCGGAAAGUUUAGUGAACCUUAUCACUUAGAGGAAGGAGAAGUCGUAACA